GCCCCGUUGGUAUAGUGGUAGCACUCCUGCCCCUCGAAGAUGUGGUCGUAGGUCGCAUGAAGCAAUCACCAGUGCAGGCAUCCUCGGUUCGAAUCCGAGACGGGGCA